AUGAACGCUGGCGGCGUGCCUAAUACAUGCAAGUCGAGCGAACAGACGAGGAGCUUGCUCCUCUGACGUUAGCGGCGGACGGGUGAGUAACACGUGGAUAACCUACCUAUAAGACUGGGAUAACUUCGGGAAACCGGAGCUAAUACCGGAUAACAUGUUGAACCGCAUGGUUCAACAGUGAAAGACGGUCUUGCUGUCACUUAUAGAUGGAUCCGCGCCGCAUUAGCUAGUUGGUAAGGUAACGGCUUACCAAGGCAACGAUGCGUAGCCGACCUGAGAGGGUGAUCGGCCACACUGGAACUGAGACACGGUCCAGACUCCUACGGGAGGCAGCAGUAGGGAAUCUUCCGCAAUGGGCGAAUGCCUGACGGAGCAACGCCGCGUGAGUGAAGAAGGUCUUCGGAUCGUAAAACUCUGUUAUUAGGGAAGAACAAAUGUGUAAGUAACUAUGCACGUCUUGACGGUACCUAAUCAGAAAGCCACGGCUAACUACGUG
rnacentral:rRNA from 1 species